GAUGAACGCUAGCGAUAGGCUUAACACAUGCAAGUCGAGGGGCAGCAUGGUCUUAGCUUGCUAAGGCUGAUGGCGACCGGCGCACGGGUGCGUAACGCGUAUGCAACUUGCCUCACAGAGGGGGAUAACCCGUCGAAAGACGGACUAAUACCGCGUACACUCUAUGUUGGGCAUCUAAUGUAGAGGAAAUGAAAUUCGCUGUGAGAUAGGCAUGCGUCCCAUUAGCUAGUUGGUGAGGUAACGGCUCACCAAGGCGACGAUGGGUAGGGGAACUGAGAGGUUGAACCCCCACACUGGUACUGAGACACGGACCAGACUCCUACGGGAGGCAGCAGUGAGGAAUAUUGGUCAAUGGGCGAGAGCCUGAACCAGCCAAGUCGCGUGAAGGAUGACUGUCUUAUGGAUUGUAAACUUCUUUUAUACGGGAAUAACAAGAGUCACGUGUGGCUCCCUGCAUGUACCGUAUGAAUAAGCAUCGGCUAACUCCGUG
rnacentral:rRNA from 1 species